rnacentral:rRNA from 1 species
GAGGAAGGUGAGGACGACGUCAAAUCAUCAUGCCCCUUAUGUCUUGGGCUUCACGCAUGCUACAAUGGCCGGUACAAUGGGUUGCGAUACUGUGAGGUGGAGCUAAUCCCAAAAAGCCGGUCUCAGUUCGGAUUGGGGUCUGCAACUCGACCCCAUGAAGUCGGAGUCGCUAGUAAUCGCAGAUCAGCAACGCUGCGGUGAAUACGUUCCCGGGCCUUGUACACACCGCCCGUCAAGUCAUGAAAGUUGGUAACACCCGAAGCCGGUGGCCUAACCGUUGUGGGGGAGCCGUCGAAGGUGGGACUGGUGAUUAGGACUAAGUCGUAACAAGGUAGCCGUAUCGGAAGGUGCGGCUGGAUCACCUCCUUUCUAAGGAG